rnacentral:lncRNA from 1 species
GACAGCGAGGGGUCUGGGCAGGGCACUGUCAGGAUUUGGGAGGUGCCCACAUGCAGGAUCCAGCCCCAUCUGCUUGGCUGAGAAUUUACAGCACUCAGACUGCUACAUCCCAGUGGAUCAUCGGAACUUUGGGAUCCCUGGGCUCAUCAUGGUACCCUGUGCUUACAUGAGGAGGGAAGAUGCUCAUAGGAGCCAGCACGUGAAGAUGUCUCACCUGAUUCUGGGCCACAACAGGACUGCAGCUGGGGUUUCCCUCCAGCUGUGUGGAAUUACACUUAGAGCUGGUCCACGAAGAGCCCACAAGCAGUUGUCCCUGCCUGAGCAUCGCUGGGGCAUGCAGCAUCCCUGCCUGCUGCCCUG